GGAAAAUUUUACCAAUGGAAACAUUAAGCCUUAUUUGCCUUACUAGUAGCCCAAAUUUCUAAGCAGCACUACUUUCAGAUAUUGUACAAAGGCCGGGACUAAGGAAUUUACAGUUUGGAACAAGGAAAAGAAUAUAAAGUAAUACAAAGCUAAUUCCAAGGACCAAAAAGAAAAUUCCAAAAAAGAAACAAAAAGGCAAGGAUAUAUGAUGCAUACAAGAAAGAAAAGAGUGUAAUUAAGGAUCUAAACAGUUGAAGAUAAAAUGCUAAAUGACUAAAGUUGCAUAAGACGGCUACUUUAAAGCUCCAUUCUUCCUUCCUCCUCAAUCGAGUUGCAAAAGACAAGUCCAUCAACUAGAAUGUUCCCAGGUCAGUUCCUCAACCAGUUAGAAAACAUCUCUGUUCUCUUGGGGAUGUUCCAUGAAGUCGAGGCCUUGCUGCUAUAAGCAAAGGCGGAUUCUUUGCUCUUCCCUCUCUUCACCUGUUAUUGUUGACGAACGGCUGUCUCUUUCUGCCGUACGUUUUUUAUAUGGCACAAACCCUUUCAUAUACUUACAUGAAGAAGCUGAUUUCUCACUUGUUUUCAGCUCAAGAACCCGGUACUGCCGACUCUGGGUCUCGCCAUCUACAUUUUUAUCCACAUUCUCCCCCUCAUUUACUGAUCCAGAGUUAGAACGAGUCCAGGAUCCUUCCUUAUGAAUUUCUUUAUCUUGGAUUUCUUCACCAUUAGAAUCCAAAUGUAAUUUCACAGGCUCCUGCCCGUGAGAAGGAAAUGGUA
rnacentral:misc_RNA from 1 species